CCAGCAGCCGCGGUAAUACGUAGGGAGCGAGCGUUGUCCGGAUUUAUUGGGCGUAAAGGGCGUGUAGGCGGCCUGUUAAGUCUGAAGUGAAAAUCCAGGGCUCAACCCUGGAACUGCUUCGGAUACUGAUGGGCUUGAGUGCUCUAGAGGGUAGUGGAAUUGCCGGUGUAGCAGUGAAAUGCGUAGAGAUCGGCAGGAACACCAGUGGCGAAGGCGACUGCCUGGGGAGUAACUGACGCUGAGGCGCGAAAGCUGGGGGAGC
rnacentral:rRNA from 1 species